rnacentral:tRNA from 1 species
GGUAAAAUGGCUGAUAAAAGCAUUAGGCUGUAAAUCUAAUUAUGGGGGUCUGAGUCUCCCUUUUACCA